GGAAGAGUGUCCCACACCUUGCGGAACGCAGACAACGGAUUCCCCGUUAAAAAAUCAGUCACAGUGACAUCAAUAUCUUCCAAAGUGUACUCAUCUUCAUAUCCUUCACUUUCAGGUUCUCCACUACUUGGGUCAAUUUCCUUCGAGGUGAACUUCAAUGUGCACGCCAUCUUUGCAACUGGAUGCAAUCCCUGCGUGAUCAAAUUUUUUAUAUCAUCAUAAGGUUUUGUGCAUGAUGACCUUUGUCCCUACCUGCGCUCGUUUGUAUGAGACAAAUGUGGAACCAAACUGUCCAAGGGGCAUGGUGCCCAGGGGAAUAGUCGACACUUUGGCAAACACUUCGAUUCCUUCGAUUGGAUCCGUCACAACAGAUACAUUUUCAAGGAUUUGAUCCUCUAUUGUGUUACUGCACAUGAAAUGAAAAACAAUAUGCUCCUUGAAAAUAUGUUUUGUGCAGGUGACCUACAAAAUUUUAACAAGCUCGGCGUUGAAUACGUUUUGAUCAUACUUUGACUUUGCGUGAAGUGCCGAAAGCUUACCUUGUACUCCGUCUCAGCUUCAGUGAGGUCCACAGCGUGACAACUCUGCGAGUACCAGACCGAGAUACACAAUAGCUCAGUUGUGGAGUUCUUGCCUAUUGACUACUGAGGAAGAAUAACUGCUCACCUUGAAGAUGGGACCAUAGCUCAUGAAUUCGCCUCUGCUUGUGAUGAUGUUUUCGGAUUCUCGAAGAUCGUUCUUUGUCGAGGAUAUAU
rnacentral:lncRNA from 1 species